UACGUAGGGGGCAAGCGUUGUCCGGAAUCAUUGGGCGUAAAGAGCGUGUAGGCGGCCAGAAAAGUCCGCUGUGAAAACUCGAGGCUCAACUUCGAGCUGUCGGUGGAAACUUUCUGGCUAGAGUCCGGAAGAGGAGAAGGAGUACUCGUGGAUGUGAGCGGUGAAAUGCGCAGAUAUCAGGAAGAACACCCGUGGCGAAGGCGGCUCUCUGGGACGGUACUGGACGCUGAGACGCGAAAGCGUGGGGAGCGAACAGG
rnacentral:rRNA from 1 species